rnacentral:rRNA from 1 species
GAUGAACGCUGGCGGCGUGCCUAAUACAUGCAAGUCCAACGAACGGACGCGAAGCUUGCUUCUCUGAUGUUUGCGGCGGACGGGGGAGUAACACGUGUAUAACCCACCUUUAAGACUGGGAUAACUUCGGGAAACCGGCGCUAAUACCGGAUGAUAUUUUGAACCGCAUGGUUCAAAAGUUAAAGACGGUCUUUCUGUCACUUCUAGAUGGUUCCGCGCUGCAUUAGCUAGUUGGUAAGGUAACGGCUUACCAAGGCAACGAUGCAUAGCCGACCUGAGAGGGUGAUCGGCCACACUGGAACUGAGACACGGUCCAGACUCCUACGGGAGGCAGCAGUAGGGAAUCUUCCGCAAUGGGCGAAAGCCUGACGGAGCAACGCCGCGUGAGUGAUGAAGGUCUUCGGAUCGUAAAACUCUGUUAUUAGGGAAGAACAUAUGUGUAAGUAACUGUGCACAUCUUGACGGUACCUAAUCAGAAAGCCACGGCUAACUACGUG